GGAUAAUCUAACCUUAGGUGGAGCAUACCCUCGGGAAACUGAGAAUAAUACUCCAUAGAUCUUUGAGGCUGGAAUGCGCUUAGAUUGAAAGCUUCGGCGCCUAAGGAUGAGUCUGCGGACUAUCAGGUAGUAGUCAGGGUAAAGACCUGACUAGCCUACGACGGAUACGGGUUGUGAGAGCAAUAACCCGGAGAUGAUAUCUGAGACACGAUAUCAGGCCCUACGGGGCGCAGCAGGCGCGAAAACUUCACAAUGCGCGAAAGCGCGAUGAGGGGAUCCCAAGUGCUUGCACGUAAGUGUAAGCUGUUUUUCUGUCUAAAAAGCAGAGAGAGUAAGGGCUGGGUAAGACGGGUGCCAGCCGCCGCGGUAAUACCUGCAGCUCAAGUGGUGGCCGCUAUUAUUGGGCCUAAAACGUCCGUAGCCGGCUGAGUAAAUGCCUGGGUAAAUCGUGUGGCUUAACCAUACGAAUUCCGGGUAGACUGCUCAGCUUGGGACCGGAAGAAGUUAGAGGUACUCCUGGGGUANGGGUGAAAUCCUGUAAUCCUGGGGGGGACACCAUUGGCGAAAGCGUCUAACUAGGACGGGUCUGACGGCUGAGGACCGAAGCCGUGGGGCGCAAACCGGAGUAGAUACCCGGGUAGUCCAGGGUGUAAACGCUGCUUGCUUGAUGUUAGCUGGGCUCCGAGCUCGGCUAGUGUCGGAGAGAGGUUGUUAAGCAAGCUGCCUGGGAAGUACGGUCGCAAGACUGAAACUUAAAGGAAUUGGCGGGGGAGCACAGCAACGGGUGGAGCGUGCGGUUUAAUUGGAUUCAACGCCGGAAAGCUUACCGGAGGCGACGGUUAUAUGAAGGCCAGGCUGAUGACCUUGCCUGAUUUUCCGAGAGGUGGUGCAUGGCCGCCGUCAGUUCGUACCGUAAGGCGUUCUGUUAAGUCAGAUAACGAACGAGACCCUCGUCCUUAAUUGCUACUGGCAACUUCGGUUGUCACGCACAUUAAGGAGACCGCUGGCGAUAAGUCAGAGGAGGGCGAGGGCAACGGUAGGUCAGUAUGCCCUGAAUCCUCCGGGCUACACGCGCGCUACAAAGGCCGGGACAAUGGGCUCCGACACCGAAAGGUGAAGGCAAUCUCGAAACCUGGUCAUAGUUCGGAUUGAGGGUUGA
rnacentral:rRNA from 1 species